rnacentral:rRNA from 1 species
GAUGAACGCUAGCGGCAGGCUUAACACAUGCAAGUCGAGGGGUAGAAGCAGCUUGCUGCUUUGAGACCGGCGCACGGGUGCGUAACGCGUAUGCAAUCUACCUUUUACAGAGGGAUAGCCCAGAGAAAUUUGGAUUAAUACCUCAUAGUAUGUGAGAAUCGCAUGGUUUUCACAUUAAAGUCCCAACGGUAAAGAUGAGCAUGCGUCCCAUUAGCUAGAUGGUAAGGUAACGGCUUACCAUGGCGACGAUGGGUAGGGGUCCUGAGAGGGAGAUCCCCCACACUGGUACUGAGACACGGCCCAGACUCCUACGGGAGGCAGCAGUGGGGAAUUUUGGACAAUGGGGGAAACCCUGAUCCAGCAAUGCCGCGUGAGUGAUGAAGGCCUUAGGGUCGUAAAGCUCUUUUACCAGGGAUGAUAAUGACAGUACCUGGAGAAUAAGCUCCGGCUAACUCCGUGCCAGCAGCCGCGGU